GAUGAACGCUGGCGGCGUGCCUAAUACAUGCAAGUCGAGCGAACGGACGAGAAGCUUGCUUCUCUGAUGUUAGCGGCGGACGGGUGAGUAACACGUGGAUAACCUACCUAUAAGACUGGGAUAACUUCGGGAAACCGGAGCUAAUACCGGAUAAUAUUUUGAACCGCAUGGUUCAAAAGUGAAAGACGGUCUUGCUGUCACUUAUAGAUGGAUCCGCGCUGCAUUAGCUAGUUGGUAAGGUAACGGCUUACCAAGGCAACGAUGCAUAGCCGACCAGAGAGGGUGAUCGGCCACACUGGAACUGAGACACGGUCCAGACUCCUACGGGAGGCAGCAGUAGGGAAUCUUCCGCAAUGGGCGAAAGCCUGACGGAGCAACGCCGCGUGAGAGAUGAAGGUCUUCGGAUCGUAAAACUCUGUUAUUAGGGAAGAACAUAUGUGUAAGUAACUGUGCACAUCUUGACGGUACCUAAUCAGAAAGCCACGGCUAACUACGUG
rnacentral:rRNA from 1 species